rnacentral:rRNA from 1 species
AUUGAACGCUGGCGGCAUGCCUUACACAUGCAAGUCGAACGGCAGCACGGGUGCUUGCACCUGGUAGCGAGUGGCGAACGGGUGAGUAAUACAUCGGAACGUACCUUAUCGUGGGGGAUAACGCAGCGAAAGCUGUGCUAAUACCGCAUACGCCCUGAGGGGGAAAGCGGGGGAUCGCAAGACCUCGCGCGAUUAGAGCGGCCGAUGCCUGAUUAGCUUGUUGGUGAGGUAAAAGCCCACCAAGGCGACGAUCAGUAGCUGGUCUGAUAGGACGUGCAGCCACACUGGGACUGAGACACGGCCCAGACUCCUACGGGAGGUAGAAGUGAGGAAUUUUGGACAAUGGGGGCAAUCCUGAUCCAGCAAUGCCGCGUGAGUGAAUAAGGCCUUCGGGUUUUAAAGCUCUUUUGUCAGGGAAGAAACACCGGCUCUAGCACAGUCUGGGAAUGACUGUACCUGAAUAAUAAGCACCGGCUAACUACGUGCCAGCAGCCGCCGCCGUAA